rnacentral:rRNA from 1 species
GUUGAACGCUGGCGGCAGGCUUAACACAUGCAAGUCGAGCGGAGCGAGGGUGCUUGCACCUUAGCUUAGCGGCGGACGGGUGAGUAAUGCUUAGGAAUCUGCCUAUUAGUGGGGGACAACAUUCCGAAAGGAAUGCUAAUACCGCAUACGCCCUACGGGGGAAAGCAGGGGAUCUUCGGACCUUGCGCUAAUAGAUGAGCCUAAGUCGGAUUAGCUAGUUGGUGGGGUAAAGGCCUACCAAGGCGACGAUCUGUAGCGGGUCUGAGAGGAUGAUCCGCCACACUGGGACUGGAACACGGCCCAGACUCCUACGGGAGGCAGCAGUGGGGAAUAUUGGACAAUGGGCGGAAGCCUGAUCCAGCCAUGCCGCGUGUGUGAAGAAGGCCUUUUGGUUGUAAAGCACUUUAAGCGAGGAGGAGGCUACUUAGAUUAAUACUCUGGGAUAGUGGACGUUACUCGCAGAAUAAGCACCGGCUAACUCUGUGCCAGCCGCCGCCGUAA